UAAUUAUUUUCACAGUACUAUUAACAACAAUUAUUUUAAAAAUUACAUUAUUGCCAAACUUAUCCUAUUUUUAGAAAUUGCUCUUCAAUAUGCUAUUUUGCGCUUUGCAUUUAUCUAUGAAUGUCCAUCCACGUGGUUUUUACCUUGCUACAUAGUCUCCUCUUUCUCCCCUUUCUUUCUUCUACCAAACAUUAUGAUCUUUCAAAAAUCAAUUAUCACGACAAAUUCGUACAAAAGGCAAUGCCCUUUCAUGAUAUUCAACAUUCGAUAUUCUUGGGUAUUGUGGAAAAUAAAUAAAUUUAAUUUUCAUAACAAUAAUGUGAUCAUAUAAUGACAUUUAAUUUCAUGUAGUUUAAUGUGAUGUUAAAUAAAUAUAAUUUGAUUUUCACAAAGUCAAACGGGCUAUUAUUGGACAUGAAUUAGAGGUGAAGAUACCUGCAUUGAAAAUAAUAAUCAAUCAUCCCAACUCAAUAAUUUAGUGUAAAUGUCACUUGACAAUAAUAAGUUUGAUUUCGUAUCAUGCCUUUCAUGACAUGUAAAGAAAUAAUAAAUAAUUAGUUUUCCAUGAAAUGUCAUUAUCGCUAUAUAUAUGCUAUAGAUUUACGUAAUAUUCAUUUGUAAGAAAAUAAGGCGGUUAGUUUUUUCUUCCUUUUUUUUUCGAAUAAAGCAGUUUGAAUAAAGCAUUA
rnacentral:lncRNA from 1 species